rnacentral:rRNA from 1 species
GAGACGCUUUAGUCCUUCGGGACACGAAACUAGGUGCUGCAUGGCUGUCGUCAGCUCGUGCCGUGAGGUGUUGGUUAAGUCCCGCAACGAGCGCAACCCCUAUGUUUAGUUGCCAGCACGUUAAGGUGGGGACUCUAAACAGACUGCCUAUGCAAAUAGAGAGGAAGGAGGGGACGACGUCAAGUCAUCAUGGCCCUUACGUCCGGGGCUACACACGUGCUACAAUGGAUGGUACAGAGGGCUGCUACCUGGCAACAGGAUGCCAAUCUCUCAAAGCCAUUCACAGUUCGGAUCGGGGUCUGCAACUCGACCCCGUGAAGUUGGAUUCGCUAGUAAUCGCGUAUCAGCAAUGACGCGGUGAAUACGUUCCCGGGUCUUGUACACACCGA